rnacentral:lncRNA from 1 species
AACGGCAAGCUCGACAUACUAGUGAGUUCUAUAUGUGUCUGUAAACUGUGGAUCAUGUGUGUCUUCUGUAUUGCUAGCGCCUAGCGAUCGGGAGUAUGUAUAUGCAUGUACUGUAGGUGAACAACGCGGGGCAGCUGCUGGUGAAGCCCACCGCGGAGUGCACGGCGGAGGAGUACUCCAAGGUGAUGGCUACCAACCUGGAGUCGAGCUUCCAUCUCUGCCAACUCGCGCGCCCUCUUCUCGUACACGCCGGAGGAGGCAGCAUCAUCAACAUGUCCUCCAUUGGAGGCUCAAUUGGCUUCGUAGGCUCCGCAAUCUACGCUAUCACAAAAAGUACGUGCAUACUCCUUUUUAAAAUGUGUUGUACGCUAAUUAAUUUUGGCAUAAGUCAUACUUUAUGAAGUUCAUUGCAGAAAAAAAUGUAACAACAUUUGUUUCGCAAAUAAAAUGUAACAACAUUGACAACACCAAAUUAUUCACGUCCCAAAAUAAGUGUGGCAGAAAUUGAGUCUAAAUCAGCGACCCUUAUUUUACAAGGGAGGAAGUACUAUUUAUAGUCAUUUGGGUUUUCGAUGUUAACUUUUUAUAUAUAAACUUAGUCAAACUUUAUAAAGUUUGAACUAACACAAAAGCUAAUAUGGAUUGACGGAUGUCAACUUAUAUUUGUCAUGCAUGUUCGCUUUUUUCUAUGUCAUGCAUGGUUCUCCUUUUUUUUGUCAUGCAUGGUUAUCUUUCUGCUCCUUUAUUAUACUGUUUAUAUGUAGGUGCAAUGAACCAGCUUACUAGGAGUUUGGCCGCUGAGUGGGCUCCCAACAACAUCCGUGUGAAUGGCGUGGCCCCAGGAUUUAUCACAACCGAUAUGAUCAAAGAUGUACGAAAUAUAUAACCUAGUAGGAAGCAUAGGUUUAUCUUUUUUAAACAACAGCACAUGGAUUUUAAACAAAUUAAAGUUCUAUGAGAUAAUAAUAAGUUCAGUUUUACAUGGGGAGUAAAAGGGCUCCAACAUCUCAUAUGUUCUUGUGGACAUGUUGGGCAGAUGGAUACAGAGUCCUUGGAGCGGGAGCACUCAAAGACCCCGUUACUGCGGAGCGGCAAGCCGGUCGAGAUCGCCUCGGCGGUGGCAUUCCUAUGUAUGCCGGCAGCUUCCUUCAUCACCGGCCAGGUCAUUUGUGUCGAUGGCGGUCGAACUAUUAGCGCUUAAUUAGCCAGCACCACCACUGCAUAAGUUACUCGGGCGAAUAGUUAAGUAGAGUGUGGGAGAGUGAAACAAAAAUUAGUGAAUAGACAAAUAAAUUAGUGAUGCCAACUAGUGUCAUCAUGUACAAUAAGUAUAUGUCAGUAUGUAGUGUGGAUUUCUACAAAGUUUCUGUAUUGGACAUCUUUUAAUGGUUGCUGGUUCUACACUGUAGAUGGAUGGGGGGCUAUUGUUCUGUUAGUACUGGAAUUCUAGUGAGCAAUUGAACCACCCUUUCCUUGAGUGGAUGUAGCCACCAAUGUGUUAACCAAAUUUUGUUCCACUAGUAGUCGUGAUUUGUUCCACUUAGUCCAAAUUUCUGUUCACCCAUAAAUAAAAUGGGUUCCAGUAGUGGACGUAAUUUGUUCCAUGAGCAUCGAGACAUUUUUCACUUGGUCUAGAUAUUUGUUUAGCCAUCAAUUAUCUGUGUCUAUGUCAUGAGCACUGAAUUUAUUUUCCACUAGUAAUCAUAAUAUAUUUCACUUAGCUCAAAUUUUUGAUUCUCAAGAAUAAAGUUUGUUCCACUAGUAGUCAGUGAUUUAUUGCAUUUACACUGUCAAUUUGUCAGCUUAGUCCAGGUAUUUGUUUCACUAGUAGCUGUGAAUUAUCUGUGUAUGUAUUUGUUCUGUGCGUCAGCACUAGUUUUUCUUCUAGGCCUAAAUUUUUGUACCGCUAGUGAUCAUGAUUUAUUCCACAAAAAUUAACACUAAUUUCUAUACCAGCAGCAAUAAUACUUCAUUCCAUUAGAAGUCGUUCCUAUCCAUAAGCACUAACAUUAUUUCCACCUAGUUUAGAUAAUUAUUUCCCUAGUAGACAUGAAUUUAUGUGUGCGUGUAAGUUGAGAUGUGUGUGUGCGUGCGUGCUUCUAAGACUAGCCAUAAUGGAGAGUAACAUACACUAGUAACAUACACAUAUCCCUAGACUAUGUUGCAUUCCUUUCACUAGUAACAUACACAUAUCCCUAGACUAUGUUGCAUUCCUCUCGUUACAACGAUUCCGUUUUUGCGAUUAGAUUAUUUUUCGGAUAAAUCUACCUAUGGUGUGGAUUUCCCUCCCAAAAACUGAGGGGACGAAUACGUCGCUGACCAAUGUCGAUGUUUUUGGAUCACGAGAGACUUGUUGACUACACUAUACGGGAGUCGGUACAAAUCGUGAUCCAGAUGAUCACGGUACUGCCACAACGCACCCGCUGUGCCACACGCCGUCGAUGUUCCCGAUGAACACGACGAUGUUUUGAGAUCCCGACGCCGACGUCCAGAUGAUGUCGUGCUGUCCACGAUCCCGCUCGUCACGUGCACUGCACCGCGUCGCCGUCGUCGCCGUCGGGCCCUGCUGGCCACGCGUUGUAGCCAUGCACCGGCCGCGACCCUGCUGGUCGCACGCGCCACGUCACGUCCUGCUGCCGCCGCCGCCGCAGCCGUCCCGCUGGCCGGCUCGUCGCAGAGCCCCGAUGGCCGGCCUGGCCGCCGCCCCCGCAGCAUGCUGCCGCCCGCCCNNNNNNNNNNNNNNNNNNNNNNNNNNNNNNNNNNNNNNNNNNNNNNNNNNNNNNNNNNNNNNNNNNNNNNNNNNNNNNNNNNNNNNNNNNNNNNNNNNNNNNNNNNNNNNNNNNNNNNNNNNNNNNNNNNNNNNNNNNNNNNNNNNNNNNNNNNNNNNNNNNNNNNNNNNNNNNNNNNNNNNNNNNNNNNNNNNNNNNNNNNNNNNNNNNNNNNNNNNNNNNNNNNNNNNNNNNNNNNNNNNNNNNNNNNNNNNNNNNNNNNNNNNNNNNNNNNNNNNNNNNNNNNNNNNNNNNNNNNNNNNNNNNNNNNNNNNNNNNNNNNNNNNNNNNNNNNNNNNNNNNNNNNNNNNNNNNNNNNNNNNNNNNNNNNNNNNNNNNNNNNNNNNNNNNNNNNNNNNNNNNNNNNNNNNNNNNNNNNNNNNNNNNNNNNNNNNNNNNNNNNNNNNNNNNNNNNNNNNNNNNNNNNNNNNNNNNNNNNNNNNNNNNNNNNNNNNNNNNNNNNNNNNNNNGCUCCGGGCGUGCAUGCGGGCCUGUCGAGGCCGCCGCCGCUCGGGCGCUCGAGCGCUAGGGUUGGAAACCCUAGCGACCCCUGACCUGGCAAACAGGUCGGCCCAGUGGGCUGCGCGCAUGGGCCUCCUUCUUCCCUCCAUAAAAAAAGGGGGGAGGGCGGUGGGGCUGGCUACACGGGCCGACAGCCCAUUUUUUGGCCUGCAGACGACCUGGGCCAGGCCAGAGAGCGCGUGCGCGUGCGGUUAUUUAUGUUUUAGCCCCUGCAGUACCAUAGAUUUAUGCGACAAUAUUCCUGCUGUAAUAUUUUGCGUAUAAGUCCCUGGAACUGUCUGUUUUCGCUGAAAAUGCGUAUUUGGGCUUAAAAAUGCCUCGAAAAUUCAAUUUUGGCUAUUUUUCACAUACUAGAUGCGCUUAACAUGCUAUCUUUUGUAACAUGAUAUUAUUGUAUGAUUUUGCUGUUGUAAAUUAAUUGUUUAGCACUCUUAAUCAUUUAGUAAGUCAUAUAAUAGCAUGUUUUAAAUAUUGGAACGUCAUUUUAUUGAAUAAGUUUAUCAACAUCGCUUUGUGCAAAAGAUUACCUGUUGAUCUCAUGAUUUUUGCAUAAAUCGCAGAUGGCCGGAAUUGUCAACAAGGAGUUUCCUGAGUUGGCCCAGACAGGGCUGAACUACCUGUCAUGGUCCUCGGACUACGAUAUCUUUCUCCAGGGCAAAACCCUCCUGAGGGCGAUCGGUAAGGGGGCCCAGCUGGCCGCCACUGAUCCCAAGUUCGAAACUGAGAAUGCGCAGGCUCUGCACUUUCUCCGUCAUCACCUGUCACCUACUCUGAAAGAUGAGUAUAUGGCUGAGCGCAGUGCUUCUGGCCUUUGGACCGCUCUUAAGUAGCGGUUUGAGCGGCUGAAGUACACUAUGAAGCCACGUGCAGAGGCAGGGUGGAUCCGUCUGAGGUUUGUGGACUUCGAGACGGUUGGGGAGUACAAUUCAGCUCUGCACCGGAUUUGUAUGACUCUUCGGUUGUGUGGUACUGAGAUUACCGACUCCAAUAAGAUUGAGAAAACUCUAUCCACUUUCCACCCCGACGCGGUCCAGUCCUCACGGAACUACCGCCAGGGGAACUACACAAGGUAUUCAGAGUUGAUUGACGUCCUCCAGGUGGCAGAGGCACAGGACGAGGUUCUCAAAAAGAACUUUGUCGCUCAACCACUUGGGGGGAGUUCUCGCCAGGAGGUGAACGCUGUCAAAGUUUGCAAGCCUCAACAGAAAAAGAGGGGCCGGAAGGGCAAGAAGAAGGGCCCUCANNNNNNNNNNNNNNNNNNNNNNNNNNNNNNNNNNNNNNNNNNNNNNNNNNNNNNNNNNNNNNNNNNNNNNNNNNNNNNNNNNNNNNNNNNNNNNNNNNNNNNNNNNNNNNNNNNNNNNNNNNNNNNNNNNNNNNNNNNNNNNNNNNNNNNNNNNNNNNNNNNNNNNNNNNNNNNNNNNNNNNNNNNNNNNNNNNNNNNNNNNNNNNNNNNNNNNNNNNNNNNNNNNNNNNNNNNNNNNNNNNNNNNNNNNNNNNNNNNNNNNNNNNNNNNNNNNNNNNNNNNNNNNNNNNNNNNNNNNNNNNNNNNNNNNNNNNNNNNNNNNNNNNNNNNNNNNNNNNNNNNNNNNNNNNNNNNNNNNNGGCCUCAGGACUGCUUCCGUUGUGGCUCGGUGGAGCAUUUCUCCCGCCAGUGCCGCGGACCACAGGAGGUCGUUGAUGCAUAUAAGGCUCGGAAGGCGCAUGAGACACACCUCGCCUUGGUUCAGGAGGGAGCACCACCAGCGCCCGUGGCGGCACCUGUGAUGAUCUCUACACCCCUUGUUGCGCCCAUAGAGGCGAACCCCGUGGUGCCCAUCGCGGCGGCUUUGGCAGUCUCUCAUGACGCCCACGUUGCCAUGGAGGUUGACCACAUGGUCGCCUCGGCGGUGCCGCAACUAGAUGCUGCCUCCAAGAUGAUUUCUAAGGAGGAUCAGCUCACUAGUAUGGAGAUUGCGGCUGAAGUCAAUGGCUUCUUCACCGAGUCUACUUAGCAUACCUCUUUGGUUAUCAUGAUUCCGUGAUUUGAUACAAUAAAUUCGAAUAAAUUCGAUUUGGUUGUAAGCUCUAUGAGAGCAUAAACUUAUUCUUUACUUUGGCGAUUGGAUGACAUUUAUUCAUUCAUUCCAUUAUUUAUACAUGAUAGCAUGUUAUGUUCUGAGAUGUGUGCAUUUAUUUUUAAUGUAUUUUCUUCCUCAUUACAUUAAUUAGAUGUCAUAUUUUAGAACGUGUGUGGCGCCCGAAUGGAGGAAACGUGCCUUGCCGAUAGCGCCACCACUCAUACCAUUUUACGAGAAACUAAGUACUUUGAGUCCAUUAAAAAAUCUUCGGGAAGUAUUAUGACAAUCGCUGGCUGCGGUUUUCACAUAGUUGGCUCCGGACGAGCCACUAUUAUACUCCCUAUGGGAACAACUUUGAUCAUUAAUGAUGCGCUGUUGUACCCGGAGUCGACUCGUACUCUUUUGAGCUUUAGAGACAUCCGCGCUAAUGGUUUCCAUGCUGAGACCGACGAUGAAAACGGCAAGGAGUGCCUACUCAUCACAAAGCGGGAUGAAGGUGGUAAACAUGUUAUCGAAAGGCUUCCUUCGUUUGACACAAGGCUAUACUACACUAAGAUAGUAUCACCGCCCGUGUACACUACCCUCAAGACCGUCUUUAGAAGCUCUGAACUCUUCUGCCUCUGGCACGAUAGGUUAGGCCACCCCGGACUUCGGAUGAUGAGAAAUAUAAUUAACAACUCGCAUGGCCAUAAUGUUAACGUGAAGAACUUCCCGAAUCCCGAUGAUUUCGUGUGCUCGGCAUGCGCUAAGGGGAAGUUAGUCAUUAGGCCAUAUGGGUGCAGUCAUUGCUUCGAGAGUUGAAGGUCUCCCCAAGUCAGCCGCCUGUUCUUUGGUGUGAUAACAUCGGUGCCACAUACCUUUCAUCCAAUCCAGUAUUUCAUGCCCGAACAAAGCACAUCGAAGUUGACUAUCAUUUUGUGAGGGAACGUGUUUCUCAGAAGCUCCUUCAGAUUAAGUUUGUUUCUUCUAAGGAUCAGCUUGCUGAUAUUUUCACUAAACCCUUGCCCUUGCCUUCUUUUGAAGGAUGUCGUAGCAAUCUUAACCUCCUGAGUGUUUCAGGACAUAGUUAAGAUUGAGGGAGGGUGUUAGACUAAGUAUAUGUUAGAUAUACGUGUUGUAACAUAACUUGUAUUUGUACGGUUCCCUCUUAUAAAUAUAUGACAGCCGUACCCACCAAGGGUAUCGAGCAUUGUUUCAAACCCCAAUACGUCUUACAACAACCCUUAAGAAAAAAAAAUCCAAUGAAAUCAUUGAUUCAUUCGCAAAAACGAGAGAGAAAGGACUUUUUUGAACACACUACAAUUGAAAUCGCUCACAUACACAAGUGUACGUGCAUGCACAAGUGUACGUUUCAAUUCAACCACGCCGCUGGCCGUAUUGCCGACUCGCACGUACGUACGUAGGGUGAGAAAAGGAAAAAAGAAAAAAGAAAAGGUACUCUUGAUACGAUGACGGAACUCAUUCAUUAGCUAGCGCACUGCUAAUCCGAAAUGUAGUCUCGUACGCGGCCGACUAGCAGUCGAACACGGUCCUGGCCCUAAUUCGAAAUGGAGCCGUACGUCACUGCGGGAGAUGUCUCUUGCAGCCCAACUCGGCGUCCCAUAGCGGAGGAGCUGUAAUCUAUAUAUAGCACGCACGCACCCACCCUACUCCAUCCAUCGUACCAUCCGAUUCAGAUCAUCUGUUCCUUCUCCGGCCAAGGCCAGGGCGCCUCCUCUCUCUCAAAGGCAAAGCGCUUGGUGUUUCUUGGAUAAGAGAGAUCACCAAUGUAUUCCGUUGAGCGAGCAAUGGCCAAAGCCGCCGCGUCCCUUCUCCCCGGUCUUCUCCCGACCCCGCCCAUGAAGCCUUGCCUCAUCAUCCUGCCGGCUUCGUUCGCCUCCAACCCCAAGCCCGGCCGCGCCGACUCAGUCGAGAGGUGGGACGCGCACAAGAAGGACAAUAAGCCCACGAGCCCAGCCUCAUCUUGCUCCAGCAGCUCAAAUCCCGGCCGAGCCUCCUCCUGCAAGCGUUGGGACAUAAACAAGCAUUUCUCCGGCAGCAGCUGCACGUCAUCCUCGUCAUCGUCAUCAAGCCGGCGAAGCAGCACGAGCUCCGGCGGGGGCGUCGCUGCGCGGGAGGUGGGAUAGCAACAAGCUGCUGCCGCCCAGCUGUGCGUCCUCCGCUGAUCGCUGGGACACGCACAAGAAUCCUAGCGCCGCACAAGCUGCUGCCGAGAGCUGGACGAGACAAGCAGUAUCACAAGGAGUACGACACUACGGCGAUGGUUCUGAAACCAACAGCGCCGCGCAUAGGCUCCAUGUUCUCUGGCCCUAGCUCCGUCGCCCCGCCGGACCCGAGCAUGCUUCCAAUGCCGCCCUUCUUUCGCUCGCGGAACCCGGGACCGGGAGUGCUUGCCGUACAAGCCUGCUAGGGUUACAGUAGUUGCUAGUUGCUCAGUCGCACUGCUAUUUAUACUCGACAUACAGUUUGGAGCUACUAUUAAUUACAAGCUAGUUUAAGACGAAGGUGGCAUCAGGUGUUCUCAGCAUACACUAAAACCACUGAAACGAAGUAAGAACAAAUUAAUUUCGGAUCAACACUGUUUACUACAUAAAAACUGUUGUUACAAGCCAAUUUAAGGAGAGUCUCGCGCCUCCCCUGCGGUCGACUCGAGAGGGCUCAGCCGCCGCCGCCUAGUCCCUCCAGCGCCCUUCUCCCCCUCCGCCGCUGCCGAUGGUCGGCGCCGGGCAAAGCCCUUGCGUGCGACGGUGACUGCGGAGGGUCUCUCCUCCCGUUCCCGGAUCCGCGGCGGCGUGGGCGUCCUGAUCCGCGGGAUGCGGCCCUCCCGACGGUGUGGCGGAUCCCGGAGGCGGAUGAUUCGUGGCGGUGCACGGGUACCCAGAUCCAUGGGUGUGGGACUACCGAGAAGCGUGCGGGCUCCCGGCGGCGGCGGGAUGGGUUGACGGCGGGCUUGGGCGAUGGCGUCGGCCGCACGGUGCCGGAUCUCGUCGCUCGUGGCGAUCUCUCCACUCCGGCCUUCGUGGAGGGACCUGGACCAGGGGCGGCGGCCCCAUUAGGCAUGGCGACGAUGCCCUUGGCUGGCGACGUUCGCGGGGGGUGGAUGGACGGCGUCUUGACCGCGUGGGCGGUGAGUCACCGGUGGAUCUCCUCCGCGCUGCAGACUCUCUCCCGCUGCACUUGGUGGCUUACGAUCGCGGUCGUCGACCUCGGUGCAUUCGCGGGGGCUGGUAGAGGUGACAUCGGACCGGAGGAAACUCUGGGUUCAUCCGACGGUUGCGACGACCAGGGUCGCCGUUCUCCUCCUUGCAGGCGCCGUUGAGGUCCAUGCCCUCCACCCCGACCCCAUGCCCAAGUGAAAACCCUAAAUCUCCUUAGAUUGGGCGGUAGCGGCACUGCGUGUGUCGUACCCUUCUUGAAGGCGCCGCCUGAGGCGUUUGGGUGCUCGGUUUGAGGAACUGCAGGCGGAGGGGAUGGGACCGUUGAGGUCCAUGCCCUCCACCCCGACCCCAUGCCCAAGUGAAAACCCUAAAUCUCCUUAGAUUGGGUGGCAGCGGCACUGCGUGUGGCGUACCCUUCUUGGAGGCGCCGCCUGGGGCGUUUGGGUGCUCGGUUUGAGGAACUGCAGGCGGAGGGGAUGGGACCAGCGGCAACAGGUGGUGUUUCGCGUUGGAGGAGCGGUGUGGCAUCUGGCACAUCGACAAAGGCGUGUCUCAGCGGCAUGGAGCAAUGGGGUCUCGUCGGUGGGCAUGUGAUGAUGGACGAGCGCAAGAUGGUGGCGUUGUCUGGUGUCGUGGUGGCGUCGACGGCAGCUAGACAGGGCAAGGUAUAUGCAACAGUACAUCACUGGAGAUGGAUUGGUGGCAGGUGGUUGUGGCGGCCUCAUACCCGGCAGACAUCCUGGUUAAGGAGUGUGCCGGACUGGUGGGUGCCCCAUACCCGGCAGGCGUCCUGGUUGGGACAUCAGGUCUUAGAUGUUAGGUUUGGCUGCGAGGUCUGUUUCGUAUAAGGGCCGGAUUAUCAGCAUCCCUACAUCAACUGAAUAGAAGUAGCGACAGAUGCUGCUUAGACUGUGUCUUUAGUCUUACUGUUGUAUAACUUUGUAAGGUCUUGUGUGAAUGAUUAAUAAAGUGGAUGCAUGCAUCGUCUAGAUGCAGAGGCCGGGGGCCAUGCUCCUUUUUUCUAAAAAAAAACAAGCUAGUUUUACAGCACAAAGUGACUGAAAAAGACAUGAUGGAAAUAUUAAGAACAAACUAAAGCUAGAAUUAACUAGUUUGAAAAGAUAAUGCACUAGCCUUAAUUACAAUGACCAAAUCAGGGACUAAUAGCUUUUUUUGGGAGGUGGCGCUGAAGUUUGAAGUUGGCUGAUGGUGGGUGUUUUAGUUGCUAGUAGUCCUCACUGGAGUUUGAACGGAGGCACGGAACGAAAGGGAAGCAUCGGGGCAGCAGGACCCGCGGCUCACUGCUGCUGCCCACGUUGAUGCCGAUGAGGUGGCACCCUCCGUCAGAGUUCUCAUCCGCCAGGGGUACCAGUAAGUAGAGGACACCGGCGUACUGUUCCCUCAGGAACGGCGACCAUGGAACCCUACUCGGCAGCCCCACCUCCACGAAGCCCUGCAUUACCCAUAUGCUCAGGAGACUCAGCUCCCGUUGCCUCUCCCACCGCCGAUCGGCGGCGAAGGAUAGGUCCAGGCUCCGAAAACAUAUAAUAGAGCACUUGCACCGAGGCCCUUUUUAUCUAGCCAUCCAUUUUUCACAUCAUGAUUCAUGCAAAUACAUUUCUCUUUUAUGUUUCUCUCACAUAAAACAUGUUUUGAAGUUCAAACUUUUGCAGCGUGGCAAAGCUUUCUAACUACAAUCUAAGAUAAAUCUUUCAGAUUUUUUUGUCAAACAUAAAUAUACAAAAUAAGUUCUGUUUGAUCAAAAAAUCAUAUUUUUAGUAUUUAUGUCGGACAAAAAAUUCUGAAAGAUUUAUCCUAAAUUCUAGUUAGAAAGUUUUGCCACACUGCAAAGGUUGGAAUUUCAAGACAUGUUCUAUAUGAGAGAAAUUAAAAAAAGAAUUACAUCUAGCUCUGUAGACCACCUAUCAACGACUACAAGAUCUGGAGAGAGCCGAAGGGGCGCCACCAUCAUCACCCCUCCCUUACCGGAACCGGACAAACUUUAUUGAAGUAGAUAGUUAGGAAGUCAUCGUGCUAAGGCCCCAUAGGACCAGCGCACCGGAUCAGCAACCGUUGCUAAUGAAGAGAACCGUAAAUCGGAAGUAUCCAACAUGUAGACACACGAACAUGGACAAACAGAGACCGGAUCCAAAUAGAGCCACCGAAGGAAAACACCGAAAGAAUUUGGCGAGAUCCCCCAAAGAAACAUCACCAUACACCCUCCGACAAAUUUGAACACAUCAUCGGAACGGGGCUAGACAGAAAGAACCUUAUUCCAUCUCCAGAAAGUCACCACCGUAUCACAUUCCGAAAUAGGACACAAAUCCAAAACAAAUACAAAAGGACAUCUAAAAAUGAAGCAGAAGCCCUCCCACUGGCAAAAGAAGGCCAAGGUCCACCGCACCUCCAUGGCCUAAAGCCACGGAAGGCGAGGAAGAUCUGCGGCGGCGCCGGCAAGAGGCAAGGAUCCCUAAUGCUAGGGUCGCUUAGGUCGCGUGAGGCUGGCUCUUCUGGUACUAUUGAUAACCCUAAAGUAAAAAAGAAUGAGAAUAUUGAUUGACCCGCAAAAAGAAAAAAGAAAGGAUCUUUUUAAUACAACACAAUCGAAGCGGCUCAUAUAUAUGAGUGUAUGUGCAUGUCCAACAUGUAAAUUAGUGUGGGGUACGUACGUGUUGUUGGAAGACGCCUGCCACACCAACCUGACCGGGUCCUGCGCCACCAACGUCCACGCGCCCACGUCGCUCGCGGGGCGUGCGUCUGUUACGCACGACUCCCUCAUCUAGCGCUUCCUCUGUUGUAACAUGUGUAUAUAUAUGUGUAAUCUGUACAUGGAAUGAAUAUACAGUGAUUGAUUCCUUCCAUCUUGGUUAUCAGAGCCUCUUUCCUGCCUUCCAUGGAGACCGGCAGCUCCUCCUCCUCAGGCGACGACACAAACCCCAUCCCUUCCGGAUGAGACUUGCCUGCUCCCUCGGCGUGUGACCAUUCGUGCUUCCGCGUACGUGGCUUGUUUUGAUUGGAACAAAAUAAAGUCCGGCCCCAUCCCUUUAAAAUCAGGGGGGGAGAUGAUUAGAUUAGAAAGAGAAAACGAAAAAGGACAGCCGUAGGAUGAAGUGGGAGCACGGAUGGGAGCAUGGAAAGGGAGCAGGCAAGCCGGAUCCAUCCCUCCCUCUCCCGGCCUCGCCGCCCCUGCCGCCACUGCUCCUGCAGCCUCGGCAUCUCCCGUACUCGCUGCUCCCGGCCUUGUUGCCCCCGUUGCAACCGCUCCCCCAACCACCACCUCCUCAGCUCUCUCCGUGAUGCCGCUUGCCCCACCUCCCGUCCUUCCCAUCGUGGCGCCCUCUUCCUCCACCGUCCCCUCCAUCCACGACCUCCACAACAUCGGCAAUCUCAUCACCUUCAAGCUUGACGUCCAGUCUGGCAGCUAUUCGAAGUGGCGUGAGCUCUGGCGCUGCAUCCUCACCAUGUAUGCCGUCAAAGCCCAUGUCGACCACUACACCGAUCCCUCCACGCAAACUCCCGCCUGGCGCCACACCGAUCUCACGAUCAUCCUCCUCAUCUACGCCACCAUCACCGACGGUCUGUACAAGGUCAUCCGCGGCGCCGGCAACACCGCGUUUCGCGCCUGGGAUCGGAUGCGGGAAUUCUAUCUCGCCAACCAGCCCGCGCAGGCGGUGCACCUUAGCGCGGAGUUCCGCGCUCUCACCCAGGGCGACCUGCGCGUCACGGACUAUUGCGGCCGGCUCAAGGCGCUGGCCGACGCCCUGGCGGACGUGGACGAGCCCGUCACCGACCGGACCUUGACGCUCCAGCUGUUGCGGGGGCUCUCGCGACGCUUCCAGGUCAUCGCCACGGUCCUGGCCCUAAUUCGAAAUGGAGCCGCACGUCAGUGCGGGAGAUGUCUCUUGCAGCCCGACUUGGGGUCCCUAGCUGAGGAGCUGUAAUCUAUAUAUAGCACGCACGCACCCACCCAACGCCAUCCAUCGUACCAUCAUAUUCAGAUUAUCUGUUCCUUCUCCGGCCAAGGCCAAGGCGCCUCUUCUCUCUCAAAGACAAAGCGCUUGGUGUUUCUUGGAUCAAGAGAGAUCAACAAUGUAUUCCGUUGAGCGAGCAAUGGCCAAAGCCGCCGCCUCCCUUCUCCCCGGUCUUCUCCCGACCCCGCCCACGAAGCCCUGCCUCAUCAUCCUGCCGGCUUCGUUCGCCUCCAACCCCAAGCCCGGCCGCGCCGACUCAGUCGAGAGGUGGGACGCGCACAAGAAGCACAAGAAGCCCAGCCCAGCCUCGUCGUGCUCCAGCAGCUCAAGUCCCGUCCGAGCCUCCUCCUGCCAGCGUUGGGACAUAAACAAGCACAUCUCCGGCAGCAGUUGCACGUCAUCGUUGUCAAGCCGGAGAAGCAGCAUGAGCUCCAGCGGGGCGUCGCCGUGUGGGAGGUGGGAUCGUAACAAGCAGCUGCCGCCUAGCCGCACGACCUCCCUUGAUCGCUGGGACACGCACAAGAAGCCUCACCCGGCACAAGCUAGGGCAGAGAUCUGGACGAGCGACAAGGACAAGGAACAGGAGGACGACACAACGGCCACGGUUCUGAAACCGACAGUGCCACGCAUAGGCCCCAUGUUCUCUGGCCCGAGCUUCCUCGCCUCGCCUGACCCGAGCAUGCUUCCAAUGCCGGCCUUCUUUCGCUCACGGAACCCGGGACCGGGAGUGCUUGCCGUACAAGCCUGCUAGGGUUACAUUAGCUAGCUACUUGUUGCUCGUCCACACUGCUAUUUGUACUUGACAUACAGUUUGUAACUUGUGUAUACGUAGCAGCAGUUAUCGCAUUGUUCUCUAAAGUUCAAGAUCGUUUCUUGUUUGUUUGUAUUCUGAUGAGCAACUUUUAAUAAUAAGCUAGUUUAAGACGAAGGUGGCAUCAGGUGUUCUCUGCAUACACUAAAGCCAUUGAAAAGAAGUAAGAACAAAUUAAUUCCGGAUCAGCACUGUUUACUACAUAAAAACUGUUGUUACAAGCUAGUUUACAGCACAAAGAGACCGCAAAAGACAUGAUGGGAAUAUUAAGAACAAACUAAAACUGAAAUUAACUGGUUUGAAAAGAGAAUGCACAAGCGUUAAUUACAAAGACCAAAACAGGAACUAAUAGCUUUUUUUUGGAGAACAUGCAAGACUACUUGUAUUUUCCAUUAUGAUAAGAGAGAGAACAAAGUUAAAUUACAUGCAAGGACAUACACAUGCCACGUUCCAACUCCAUCACACAUUUAAUGGUGCUAAUUCAAUCCAACGAAGGCGAAACACAUGACGCCCAAAAAUGCUAGACAUACAAAGACUUACACGCUCCUUCUAUCUAACAACUAAUCACAAACCUUUCUCCCCCUGAUUUUCAGGGGGUGGGCCGCCCCGUUCACCUAUUGACCAAUCAAGAUUAACCAUCCUGUAAAAGCCUGUAAAUCGUUUGUACGUGUAGCAUUGCCGCAUGAUGCCUCACGCUAGCCAUGUCGGCAGAAAUUGUGCUGCGACGCCAAAAUUGCUACACUUACGGAUCAUGGUUUACGUACGAUCUGCCCCAAUACCCCGCGCGCGCGCCCCUUGAUUUCUCUCUGUGGGAUCCACUGAUUUCCAUCGGCCCAUGCAGAUGGUGCCACCACAUCUGUCCGUAAACUUCAAACCAUAAAAAACUGUCUGCAACUGUAUCCCACAGUGUUUUUUUUUUCGAUUUGGCAAUGUGUUGUUCUCACUGCAGGUGGGCCCAUGUAUGCUGCUCGCUUUCUUCGUCGCUAAGGCUGCUCAUAUAUAGUGGGUAGUAAGUUAGACUAGUGUCACACACAUAUAAUAGUGUUUUAUGUUACUACCUUUAUAGUGCAAAAAAUAUCAUAUAAAUAGUAUCAGAGAUGACUUCAUUUAUUAGUUUGCAGAAUUGUUUUUCAGUAGGAAGCGCUAUGUGAUGAUAACAUAAUAUGUUACGACCAUCAUCUCUUUUCUCAUUUAAUACUAUGUCAUGUCACUAACAUGCCUCGUUGGCAUUUUGGGAGGAUGCAUGUUACUAGAUAUGUUACUCUCACUAUGACAAGUCUAAGAGAGGAGGAGAGAGAAACAUCCCUAUCCCUAGAUUCACCCCGCCUUCAUCCCACCCCACCAGCUCCCAGCUAGAUUGUAGGUUCCUCACCAUGCAUGCGACCCCCAUCCUCUCUUGCCACAUUACCACACAUGUCGCGUCCAUCAUCUCUCGCCUUCUCACCUCCUGGCUCAUCAUUCCAGUGGCGGCAACUCUUGUCGAUGAGCACGGUUGAGAGCCUCAUGAGUGACUUGUUCGGUCUUGACUGCCCUGCAAUCUCUGCGAUUAUCUUCCCUACAUGCACGUGAUUACUUCCUUCUGAUUUGUUUACCUAUUGUCUAGCACCAUUAUCACAUGAGAAAAUAUCGAGUGGAAAAAAAAUCACAAGAGAGGUCAAUACAUCAUGAGGCCGCCAGGGGAUAAGGGGAACCCUAGCGUAGCCGCCAGGUAGGUGUGUUCGGCUUUCUACCCUACUCAUGCAGCAGUCGAACACUGUCUUGGCUCUAAUUCUAAAUGUGAUCCGGCACUGCGGGAGGUGUCUAUCUAUAUAUACGCACGCACCCACCCAACUCCAUACCAAGGCGCCUCCUCUCUCAAACUCAAAGCGCUUGGUGUUUCUUGGAUCAAGAGAGAUCACCAAUGUAUUCUGUUGAGCGAGGAAUGGCCAAAGCCGCCACGUCCCUUCUCCUGGGUCUUCUCCCGACCCCACCGACAAAGCCCUGCCUUAUCAUCGUGCCGUCUUUGUUCGCCUCCAAGCCCAAGCCCGGCCGCGCUGACUCUGUCGAGAGGUGGGACGCGCACAAGAAGAUCAAGAAGCCCAAGACCCCAGCCUCGUCGUGCUGCAGCAGCUCAAGUCCCAGGCGCGCCUCCUCCUGCGAUUAUAUUUUGAAUUUGCACAAAUUUACAUGCUAAAAAAGGUACCACCAAUUUACAUGCACAAAUUAAAUAAAUUUUGAAUUUGUCAUGUGAGCUGAAACAAUUAUAUUUUAAAAAGUGCCAUGAUUUACAAGCAGGUGAACAUCUCUCCCGCAUCUCCACUACUUCAAGAACAUAAAAAAUGCCAUGUGCUCGUCUACCAUGCAAUUCUAGCACCGAAACGACCACAACCCCUAAAAACUACUCCCUCCGUUCCAAAUUACUCGUCGUGGUUUUUGUUCAAAUUUGAACUAAAACCACGACGAGUAAUUUGGAACGGAGGGAGUAUUUAAUAAACAAGGAUGGUAUUUAUAAGAAUACUAAGCAUGCAAAUAUAUUGAGCGCGGUCAAUUUGUUUGAUUGGAGAGAGCUGAUGUCAUGUAUACAAGCACAAAUAAAGUUGAACUGCUUGAUAACUUCCAUGUUAUAGAACAAAAAUGUUCUUAAAAUUGGCAUGGCCAGAAAAAAAAUAGAAGAAAAAAUCAAUUUUUUUUGCCAUUUUCUACCUAACAGAAAUUUGAAAAAAAAUCCAUGUCAAUUUGUUAAAAUGUGCCAUGUUGCUUUACAAAGAAUUGCCACAUUUUUUUAGAACAAAUCUAUAAACUGCCAUGAAAAAUAAGUACUAUCAUCAGAAAAUUUGACACAUAAGCUAACAGUAUUUUAGAAAAUUGCCAUGUCAAUUUGUUUUAAAAAGUGUCAUGUUCCUUUACAUAGAAUUGCCACGGAUUUUUUAGAACAAAAUCUAUAAAACUGCCACCGCCGAUAGGACCAACGCAGCAUAACUGCAACCGCCGCCGAUGAAAAGAAGUUUAGAUCAGAAGGAUCCAACCAGAAGACACAUGAACAAAGACGAAAAAUACCUGAUCCAAGAAGAUCCACCAAAGACAACCGCCGACCGAAUCCCGCGAGAUCCGUCAGAGACACGCCUCCACACGACCUUCAAUGAUGCUAGAUGCACCACCGGGACGGCGGCUAAGUAGGGAGAACCUUAUUCCAUCUUCAAGGAGCCGCCGCCAUCUCUUCUUUCUGACUAGGACACAAACUGUAACAAAAUUUGAAGAAGCGCCUAAAAACAAAGCCCUCCCGUCGGCAAGGGCCAGGACGCACCACGUGCCCAUGGCCCUAAGGCCGCAGAAGACGUGGAAAAUCAGUGACGCCUUCAACAUGAGGCAGAAACCCUAACCGCGUUUCCUUGGGAGGAGAGAUGAAGGGAAAGGAGAGACAAUAUGUAGCGCUGCUCUUCUUCUACAUCACAACUCCCUUCUUUCUUGGUUUCUCUCAAGAACACACACAAUGGAAACUGAAAGAACACACACGCACACAUGUACCAGGAAGGAGCAAAAAGCUUCGCCCACAGGCUCUUCUUGGUGAACAUAUUCGCUACAUUUUGCUCUCGGCCCACACGGCCUCUUUCAUUAACUCACACACACACAGCUAACAAGCCUGCGACCUGAACUGCUUGAGAUCCAGUUCCUAUGCACACGUCCAGAACGUGUGAAGCUACUCCACUAAUGUAGCUGCAUGCAACCUCCACUAGUUAAUGUUAUGCAUGUACUAAUCAACUUGAUCGAAUCGCCCAGCCAUAUCCCAACUAACUCAUGCAUGCACGGCUACGUCAAUAAACUGAGCGACUCACCACCCGGCUCAACCUGAUGCGUGUCACGCUUCAUCUUUGGCCGUGCCUUACCGUUUCUCACGGCGUCACCGUUUCACACGACACCAUCGGCAUCUCACCAUACUCGCCAAGUCUAUUUAAUAAAUAAGGAUGGUAUCUAUAAGAAUGCUACACAUGCAAGUCUAUUGAGCGCGGUCAAUUUGGUUGAUUGGAGAGAGAUGUUGUCCACUAUACAAAGAAUUGCCACGGUAUUUUGAGAACAAAAUCUGUAAAAUUGCCAUGGAAAUUAGUACUAACUUGCCAUGUGCUACAUAACAAUACCACGAAACUGCCAGCCUAAAAAAAUGAAAUAAACGUGCCAUGGCAAACACCUAUCACAUUUGUGCAAGACAGCACAACAAUCAUAUGGCAAUCAUCUACACAGCACAAAGAAAUGAUCAAACAACAGUUAAUCCGACAAAAAGUAUGCACAGAAAUGACAACAGUAUAGUUGCAUCCCUCAAAAGGAGAUCAAGAGUGCACAUUACACUGGCAGAAAAACCAUACCACCUGGCACCUGCUUUGUCCAUUUCAUAAGAGUAAUUAAUACUAUAGUAAAAUUGGCAUUACAAGAUCACCAUGGCUCGAACUAAAUUGCAGACUGAUGUUUUGAGAGCUAUGCAACAUGGGACAAACGUGGCCAGGGCCGGCUCUAUGAUUUCGAAGGCCCCGGUGCGAACCCGACCAGUGGGCCCAAUAGAGAGAGAAAACCAAUUUGAUACAUGAAAAUAUAAAAUUGCUAUAAAAUCAUAAUAAUAAUAUAUAUAUUUACUAGAAUCAAGCAUAUGUUAUUUUCCAUGUCUUUGUUCCAUAUCAAGUAUCAUGGAAGUUACAACGCAGAAAAAAUAUAUAGAAAUAGCAUGCUAACCUCCAGUGAUCAUGUGAAACGAGACUUUCGUGCAUUUUUUGACGCAAAAUCAUCAAUGAGAGUGUCAAGAUCAAUACUAUCCAGCAUAUUCUUCUCAAUGCACCACAUGGCCAAUCCAUUCAAUCUUUCUUGAGACAUCGUUGACCUCAAAUAAUUUUUCAAUAGUUUCAAUUUUGAGAAACUCCUUUCAGCUGAUGCAACAGUCACAGGUACGGUCAAAAGGAUACGAUGAGCAAUUGAGACAUUUAGAUAACAAUCCGCAUCUCUAACAAACUCAAAUAUCUGAUCCGCUGACAUGAAUGUGUUUGGCAAUGUCAUUUGCAGUACUUUUAGUUCAGAAACGAAAUCAUCUAGAUCGACAUCUGCUGACUUACCAUGAGUGAAUUUGUUGACAAAAUUAGUGCAACAUCUUCUUAGAUCAUUAUCACCCAAGGACUUCAACUCUUUCGAGUUGAACAAGAAACCAAAUAUGCUCCCAAAUGUCUUCAGUUCCUCAAAUCUAGUAUUUAGGGAAGCAAUUGCAACAUCAAUCAUCACCAAAAAGUAUUUAACUCUAAAUGAUUCCACCUCACUUGCUUGCGUUUCUUCAUUCUGGUUAUUUUCGUCAUUGCCACUAAUUUCGUCAAACUGUCUUUUUCUAGUAAUACGUCUCUUGACAGCAAACAAAGGUUGUACACCCAUGUCAAUUGCAAUAGAUCUCGCAAUAUCCAGACUAGUUGCAAAGCCGUCAUUUCUGUACUUCUUAAAAUAUGAGAUGGCACCUUCAAUUUGUUUAAGUGUAACAUCAAUGCACACAAACUUAGACUGCAACUUCUUACUCACCAUGUUUACAGUGAACAAAAUGUCAUGCCAAAUGACCAUGCCAAGUAAAAAUUUAAAUUUCUCAAGUGCCCUAGCCAAAGAUUUUGCGUCGCUCUUAGUCUUGGCGUCAUCGGUAGAAGUUCUCUACAAUUCCAGUAAUGUUUUUCUUAACUUGGUCAGUUGAUCUCUUCCCCGAAUUCUUGCCGAUUUGAUCCCCAAACUCAGCUCCAGGUUCGGUGUGGUGCGCUGGUGUCGGCGUCAGGCGACGUGCUGCUGUGUCGAUGCGUCUCCGUGCUCCUGUGUCGGUGCGUCUCCCUGGAAUCCAGGAGAACGACAGGGCAAUGUGCGUUGCCCGGGCUUGGUUGGGCAGGCCCCAGUGGUGGUUGCGUGCUGCUUGCUGGGUGGGCUCAGAACUACCUGGGCUGGACGUUAGUCAUUCUUUUUUUUCCACUACCCCGUAAUAUAUAUACUGCAUAUAUACUAUGGGCCCCCUUUUAGUCUCGGCCCCGGGCCGUCGCACCUCUCGCACUGGUCCAAAGCCGGCCCUGAACGCGGCGAGCCGCAGCCUGACUUGCGGGGCAGAUGAAGACGAGCCUAAUCCUGAGGCUGAAGGGUAUUGUCGGCGCCAACCCCCUCUCCACCCGCACGCGCCAGUAGGCCACCGGUCUAGGCCGCUUGUCAUCGGAACGAGCGCCAAUCCGCGCCUGCGCCCACCGCCGCCACCCCUGCGGUCGACGAAGCCCCUUUGGCCACCGACGCACCCACCUCUAGACAGUGCCCGUGGUGCUGAACCUGUCGUAGCCCACCUCUUUCCUCUUCCUCCUUUAUCGCAGCUCGCCAUCGCCAGCUUACCCGAGCUCGCCUCACACCCACGAAGUUCGUUUCGCGGCCCACCGUGGUUGUGUCGUGUGCGAUCCAUUCUUGUCCACCUGCUUGCGCUCCUCCUCGCACACCUUGGCGAAGGGGACGUCGCCGGCGUCUUCGAUGUGAAGAGACGUACGUGUCGCCGACCGCGGGCAUCGUCGAUGAAAUUAUUGAUUGAUUCAGACAAGAAAAGACGUACGUGUCAAUUCAACCCCGCUGCCGGCCGGAUUGUCGGUUCAUACGUACGUACGGCAUCUCAUUCAUCUAGCUUGCUAGCGCACUCCUAAUCCGAAAUGUAGUCUCCUACGCGGCCGACUGGCAGUCGAAGACGGUCUUGGCCCGCCCCUAAUUCGAAAUGGAGUCCGUACGUCACUGCGGGAGAUGUUGUUUAUAUAUACGCACGCACCCACCCAACUCCAUACCAUCAGAUCGAUCGUCUCUUCCUUCUCCGGCCAAGGCGCCUCCUCUCUCAAAGUCAAAGCGCUUGGUCUUUCUUGGAUCAAGAGAGAUCAACGAUGUAUUCCGUUGAGCGAGCAAUGGCCAAAGCCGCCGCGUCCCUUCUCCCGGGUCUUCUCCCGAUCCCGCCCACCAAGCCCUGCCUCAUCAUCCUGCCGGCUUCCUUCGCCUCCAAGCCCAAGCCCAAGCCCGGCCGCGCCGACUCAGUCGAGAGGUGGGACGCGCACAAGAAGGACAAGAGGCCCACGAGCCCAGCCUCGUCGUGCUCCAGCAGCUCAACUCCCGGCCGCGCCUCCUCCUGCGAGCGUUGGGACUUAAACAAGCAGUUCUCCGGCAGCAGCCGCGCGUCCUCGUCGUCGUCGUCGUCAAGCAGGCCAAGCAGCACGAGCCCCGGCGGGAGGUGGGAUAGCAACAAGCGGCUGCCGCACAGCCGCACGACCUCCGCCGAUCGCUGGGACACGCAUAAGAAGCCUUGCCCGGCACAAGCUGCCGCCGUGAGCUGGACGGGCCACAAGGAGGACCAGGAGGACGACAAAACGGCGAUGGUUCUGAAACCGACAGCGCCGCGCAUAGGCCCCAUGUUCUCUGGCCCGAGCUUCCUCGCCUCGCCUGAUUCAAGCAUGCUUCCAAUGCCGACCUUCUUUUGCUCGCGGAACGCAGCAGUGCGUCCCGUACAAGCCUUCUAGGGCUUCAUUAGCUACUAGUUGCUCGUUUGCACUACUCAUGUAUAUUCGGACAUAAAGUUUAACUAGCUAGUGUGUUGAGGUAGCAGUGUGUAUUUUUCGAUCAUUUUAUGUUGAUGCAUAUGUAGCAGCAUUGAUCGCAUUGUACUCUAAAGUUCAAGAUCAUUUGUCGUUUGUUUGUCUUCUGACCAACACUGCUGUUACAAGCUACCCUUUUUUUAGCGAAUGUUGUUACAAGCUAGCUAGUUUAAGAUGAAGCUAGCAUCAGGUGUUUUUAACAUACACUAAAUCCCGGUGCUGCACUCAAACAUCCUCCAAGCUCAUGCAUGCAUUAAAAAGAUCGAGAAAAAAAUAAUCAACAAGGCUUGCAGCUGGCUAAUCUCAAAAAAAGAAAGGUGCAGGUGCAUGUAAAAUUUGGCAAAAUUAGAUAGCAAAAUCAUAUUUGUGUUCUUCAGUCUAUGUUUAAGCCUCAUACAAGAAAAAUAAAUAAGUAUCAAACAUGAGGGUGCCAAGACUUUAUCCCGAACAUGGAGUUUAUUGAUUCUUUAAUUUCUAAAAGUGCGAACAAAGUCCUAUAAACAUGAAACCUGGCAUGUGCCCUCAUAUGACAUCUAGAGACGGUGGUAAAAAUUUGAGAAGGUAUUAUUGAAUUUGUGACGUACACUACAUAGAAAUUAAAUCAUCUUCGAGGAAGAAACAUGGUUUAGAGAGGCACCAAGAAUCAGGUUUGAAGGCGAUACGACCGUUGUUUCAUCCAUUGGCCUUUAAUGAUCUUCUACACUCAAGAUACGCUACUACAUGAUCUUAGUCGAAAUUUGUCAUUUUGCAAACUGAGCAUAACUGAGAUUAUUAGGAUUCUUGUGGUGAAAACACCCCAUCGGGGUUCAAGUCCGAGACUAUGCACUGGUGCUAGUAUGUUUUAGACAUUAUUUAGGCUUUCAGGGGUUGUUCAUUUAGUGGAAGGAGACACUCCCGUCGACUAAGAAUGCACAUGUGGUGACUUUGUGAGUUGUUGUUUCGGCUCAGUAUCUCGGAGGUGCUCAUAGGAGUAUGGUGUGUAUGUGUGCGUUCAUUGGGACGUGUGUAUAUGGACAACUGAGUUAAAUUUCCUAAAAAAUGACAUUUUUGAGGGAUUCGUUAGCUACAAUUAAAUGCAUUUCUAGUCAUUUAGUGAAUAUAAUAAAAUUGUGAACUGCAAGUGCAUGAAAAAGUUGGUAAAAUUAGGUUGAAAAUUACAUUUGUGUUUUUGAGUUUAUGUUUAGACUUUAUACAAUGAAUAACAAACAUGAGGGUGUCAAGACUCGACUCAGAACAUGGACUUAUUAUUAUUUUUUAAUUCCAAAAGAUGAAAACAAAGUCUAAAAAAUAUGAAACUGGGCAUGCUGCCCUCAUAUGACAUCUAGAGACUGCGGUAAGAAUUUGAGAAUGUUUCACAAAUAUUAUCUGUACACUGCUUAGAAAUAUCUUUGAGAAUGUAAAUUAAUUUGGAUUGGAGGGGUAGCAAAAACCAUUAAGAAACACCUUCUCAAAAAUUGAAAAUGACAUUUCAAUCCUUGAAGGUGCUAAAGUAUUCUUCCUGCAAAACUAGUCAGUACUCCCUCCUGUCAUUUUUACUUUGUGUAUUAGAUUUGUGUGAAGUCAAACUUUGCAAAGUUUGACCAAAUUGAUAUUAAAAAAUUUCAAUAUCUACAAUACCAAAUAUAUAUACUAUUAAACUACAUUUUAUAAUGGAUUUAAUAUUAUUGAUUUGACAUUGUGAAUGUUGAUGAUUUUUUUAUAAGUUUAGUCAAAGUAGAGAUACUUUACAGAUAAACUUUAAAAGAACAGAAGGGAGUACAUUGAUCUUAGCUGUCUUAGCUGUCUUAGCUUAUAGCUAGCUUAGGGAAAGAGGGCAUUCGAGGGAGGGGCGGCUCGGAAACACCCGGAGACGAAUGUGCCUAGGAUUGGCCACGAUGAACUGAUAAGGCUGACGAAGGCGGCUCAACUCGAGCGGCAUGUGCACCUGGUCGAGGUGGCGGUGCCGAGAAGUGCUCGGGCUGAGCUGGCGGCGGCGCAUGGCGUCGGCCUGGCGGCUGAGCGGGCCCGCGGCAAGGUCUAAUAGUGGCGGCGCAACGGGGAUAAGGCUCCGGCAGGUAGACCAGACGCACAGCAUGGGAGUCACGCAGGGGACGGCCGCGCCGCAGUGGUAUCACGCAAGCGCUCUCCUAUCGUGGCGUGCACGCGCUCUGGCCACGCCGCGCCACGCAAAAGGGCAUGCUGCUCGCGCUCCCGGCGCGUGGCACGACCUCUGACCAAGAUAUUUUUCCCGCUUAUGUCUCUACUCAGGAAGCCACGUGAGGCCGCACUCGGAACUUUGGAAGUCAGUGAGGCGGCCGUUCAACGUUAUCAGCGUCGCUGUUGUCUUGGCGCGUGCCUUCUUGGCUAUAAACGUCAACCAACUAGUGCCAAAAUGGUCUUAGGAUUAGGAAGCAAAUACGGUGACAUCUCUCUGCAUAGUGGUCGACAUGGCGGCUGAGGGCGGGAGCAGGGAGGAGAGGUGGACCCUGGCCGGCGCCAGGGCGCUCAUCACCGGCAGCAGCAAAGGGAUCGGGUACGCCAUCGUGGAGGAGCUCGCCGGGUUCGGUGCGAGGGUGCACGCCUGCUCCCGGAACGCGGCGGAGCUGGAGGAGUGCCGACGGCGGUGGGAGGAGAAGGGCCUGCAUGUCACCGUCUCCGUGCGCGCCGACAGGGAGAAGCUCAUGGACACCGUCCGGCAGACCUUCAACGGCAAGCUGGACAUACUAGUGAGUUAUAUGUGUCUGUAAACUGUGGAUCGAUCAUGUGUGUCUUCUGUAUUGCUAGCGCCUAGCGAUCGGGAGUAUGUAUAUGCAUGUACUGUAGGUGAACAACGCGGGGCAGCUGCUGGUGAAGCCCACCGCGGAGUGCACGGCGGAGGAGUACUCCAAGGUGAUGGCUACCAACCUGGAGUCGAGCUUCCAUCUCUGCCAACUCGC